GCCAUAUCACAUUGAAACACUGGUUCCUGUACAAUCGCCAACAUUAACUAACAUUGAGCAUGGUUAGUACUUAGAUGGGUGACUGCUUGGGAAUACCAGGUGCUGUAA